GUUAUAUGGUCAAGUGAAGAAGCGCAUACGGUGGAUGCCUUGGCAGUCAGAGGCGAUGAAAGACGUGGUAGCCUGCGAAAAGCUUCGGGGAGUCGGCAAACAGACUUUGAUCCGGAGAUCUCUGAAUGGGGGAACCCACCUAGGAUAACCUAGGUAUCUUGUACUGAAUCCAUAGGUGCAAGAGGCGAACCAGGGGAACUGAAACAUCUAAGUACCCUGAGGAAAAGAAAUCAACCGAGAUUCCCUUAGUAGUGGCGAGCGAACGGGGAUUAGCCCUUAAGCUUCAUUGAUUUUAGCGGAACGCUCUGGAAAGUGCGGCCAUAGUGGGUGAUAGCCCCGUACGCGAAAGGAUCUUUGAAGUGAAAUCGAGUAGGACGGAGCACGAGAAACUUUGUCUGAACAUGGGGGGACCAUCCUCCAAGGCUAAAUACUACUGACUGACCGAUAGUGAACCAGUACCGUGAGGGAAAGGCGAAAAGAACCCCGGAGAGGGGAGUGAAAUAGAACCUGAAACCGUAUGCGUACAAGCAGUGGGAGCCUACUUGUUAGGUGACUGCGUACCUUUUGUAUAAUGGGUCAGCGACUUAUAUUCAGUGGCAAGCUUAACCGUAUAGGGUAGGCGUAGCGAAAGCGAGUCUUAAUAGGGCGUUUAGUCGCUGGGUAUAGACCCGAAACCGGGCGAUCUAUCCAUGAGCAGGUUGAAGGUUAGGUAACACUGACUGGAGGACCGAACCCACUCCCGUUGAAAAGGUAGGGGAUGACUUGUGGAUCGGAGUGAAAGGCUAAUCAAGCUCGGAGAUAGCUGGUUCUCCUCGAAAGCUAUUUAGGUAGCGCCUCAUGUAUCACUCUGGGGGGUAGAGCACUGUUUCGGCUAGGGGGUCAUCCCGACUUACCAAACCGAUGCAAACUCCGAAUACCCAGAAGUGCCGAGCAUGGGAGACACACGGCGGGUGCUAACGUCCGUCGUGAAAAGGGAAACAACCCAGACCGCCAGCUAAGGUCCCAAAGUUGUGGUUAAGUGGUAAACGAUGUGGGAAGGCUUAGACAGCUAGGAGGUUGGCUUAGAAGCAGCCACCCUUUAAAGAAAGCGUAAUAGCUCACUAGUCGAGUCGGCCUGCGCGGAAGAUGUAACGGGGCUCAAACCACACACCGAAGCUGCGGGUGUCACGUAAGUGACGCGGUAGAGGAGCGUUCUGUAAGCCUGUGAAGGUGAGUUGAGAAGCUUGCUGGAGGUAUCAGAAGUGCGAAUGCUGACAUGAGUAACGACAAUGGGUGUGAAAAACACCCACGCCGAAAGACCAAGGGUUCCUGCGCAACGUUAAUCGACGCAGGGUUAGUCGGUUCCUAAGGCGAGGCUGAAAAGCGUAGUCGAUGGGAAACAGGUUAAUAUUCCUGUACUUCUGGUUACUGCGAUGGAGGGACGGAGAAGGCUAGGCCAGCUUGGCGUUGGUUGUCCAAGUUUAAGGUGGUAGGCUGAAAUCUUAGGUAAAUCCGGGGUUUCAAGGCCGAGAGCUGAUGACGAGUCGUCUUUUAGAUGACGAAGUGGUUGAUGCCAUGCUUCCAAGAAAAGCUUCUAAGCUUCAGGUAACCAGGAACCGUACCCCAAACCGACACAGGUGGUCGGGUAGAGAAUACCAAGGCGCUUGAGAGAACUCGGGUGAAGGAACUAGGCAAAAUAGCACCGUAACUUCGGGAGAAGGUGCGCCGGCUAGGGUGAAGGAUUUACUCCGUAAGCUCUGGCUGGUCGAAGAUACCAGGCCGCUGCGACUGUUUAUUAAAAACACAGCACUCUGCAAACACGAAAGUGGACGUAUAGGGUGUGACGCCUGCCCGGUGCCGGAAGGUUAAUUGAUGGGGUUAGCGCAAGCGAAGCUCUUGAUCGAAGCCCCGGUAAACGGCGGCCGUAACUAUAACGGUCCUAAGGUAGCGAAAUUCCUUGUCGGGUAAGUUCCGACCUGCACGAAUGGCGUAACGAUGGCGGCGCUGUCUCCACCCGAGACUCAGUGAAAUUGAAAUCGCUGUGAAGAUGCAGUGUAUCCGCGGCUAGACGGAAAGACCCCGUGAACCUUUACUGUAGCUUUGCACUGGACUUUGAGCCUGCUUGUGUAGGAUAGGUGGGAGGCUUUGAAGCGUGGACGCCAGUUCGCGUGGAGCCAUCCUUGAAAUACCACCCUGGCAUGCUUGAGGUUCUAACUCUGGUCCGUGAUCCGGAUCGAGGACAGUGUAUGGUGGGCAGUUUGACUGGGGCGGUCUCCUCCUAAAGAGUAACGGAGGAGUACGAAGGUGCGCUCAGACCGGUCGGAAAUCGGUCGUAGAGUAUAAAGGCAAAAGCGCGCUUGACUGCGAGACAGACACGUCGAGCAGGUACGAAAGUAGGUCUUAGUGAUCCGGUGGUUCUGUAUGGAAGGGCCAUCGCUCAACGGAUAAAAGGUACUCCGGGGAUAACAGGCUGAUACCGCCCAAGAGUUCAUAUCGACGGCGGUGUUUGGCACCUCGAUGUCGGCUCAUCACAUCCUGGGGCUGAAGCCGGUCCCAAGGGUAUGGCUGUUCGCCAUUUAAAGUGGUACGCGAGCUGGGUUUAGAACGUCGUGAGACAGUUCGGUCCCUAUCUGCCGUGGACGUUUGAGAUUUGAGAGGGGCUGCUCCUAGUACGAGAGGACCGGAGUGGACGAACCUCUGGUGUUCCGGUUGUCACGCCAGUGGCAUUGCCGGGUAGCUAUGUUCGGAAAAGAUAACCGCUGAAAGCAUCUAAGCGGGAAACUUGCCUCAAGAUGAGAUCUCACUGGGAACUUGAUUCCCCUGAAGGGCCGUCGAAGACUACGACGUUGAUAGGCUGGGUGUGUAAGCGUUGUGAGGCGUUGAGCUAACCAGUACUAAUUGCCCGUGAGGCUUGACCAUAUAACACCCAAACA
rnacentral:rRNA from 1 species